rnacentral:rRNA from 1 species
GGGGAAUAUUGGACAAUGGGGUGAACCCUGAUCCAGCCAUGCCGCGUGUGUGAAGAAGGCCUUAUGGUUGUAAAGCACUUUAAGCGACGAGGAGGCUCUUUUGGUUAAUACCCAAGAUGCGUGGACGUUACUCGCAGAAUAAGCACCGGCUAACUCUGUGCCAGCAGCCGCGGUAAUACAGAGGGUGCGAGCGUUAAUCGGAUUUACUGGGCGUAAAGCGUGCGUAGGCGGCUUUUUAAGUCGGAUGUGAAAUCCCCGGGCUUAACUUGGGAAUUGCAUUCGAGACUGGGGAGCUAGCGUAUGGGAGAGGAUGGUAGAAUUCCAGGUGUAGGGGUCAAAUGCGUAGAGAUCUGGAGGAAUACCGAUGGCGAAGGCAGCCAUCUGGCCUAAUACUGACGCUGAGGUACGAAAGCAUGGGGAGCAUACA